GCAGGGGAAAAAAAAUACAGUCCGUGCCUGUGUAAUCUGAGCCAACAAUAUAAAAGAGCGAAACGAUUACCGGAAGUGUAUUCGCCCUUUAAGUUCACAUGACAGAGAUGCCUGCAGUUCAGAUCGUAGGGCAUCACACGCGCACUAUAAAGUCAAAGCGCAGGGCACAGCACCCUGACACACAGCGCAGAGCGGCAGAGAGGAGGCGACAAAACAGCAGCAGCAGGCGGAGGAGGAGAUCGCAGUCUGGCGAUGUGACGGGUCGUCAGCUGUACCAAGUGUUACCGGUGUUUUCUUGGAUUGUGUCUGACUGAAUGUUUGAGCAAGUGUCUGGGAGAGAACACAGUGCAUGCAGUGGUAGAGGGGGACGUGGAUAUUGAAGUGCUUCCUCAUCGCCACGAUUACCAUGUCAGACCAGAACCAGCAGCUUUGGAUACAGCAUGUGAAAUAAUAGAGGCUCAGCGGCUGUGGAUAGAAGAGCUGAGAAAGAGACUGAAGGAGGUCUCAUUGAAGCAGUCAUUUGGGUUGGAGAGGUUUUCGGCAUUGGAUGAAGACAUCAGAUUCUAUACCAGGACUUGUCUCCCCUGCUCCAGUCCAUCAGAACUGAUGCGUUCCAAUGAUUGAUGAACUGUUCCUGUUGGUGUACCUGUCUCUGGGUCUGAAAGAGAAAGAUCUGGAUGACCGUUUCAACAUUCAGCAGUCCACAGUCAGCAGGAUCAUCAAAACCUGGCAGUAAUCAGGACUGGGAGGACAACCCUGAUGCUUCUUCACACACAGAACAGGAAGAGAAUCACGCUGCUCUUCAACUACAGGAAAUACCCUCUGUGCCGAUGACGCAGGUCUCAGGGGAAAGCUCAGCAAAUUCUGUAGAUGUGAAGCAAACUGUAAACUGUGUAAGUGCAAGGCUGCCUGUGCAAAGCUGUGCAACAUAUUGCAGCAUGGACACACACACACACACAAACAUGCACACACACACAGAAACGUUCACGCAUUGAGAUGCAUUAUCUCUUUAAGUUCUAUCUUGUGCUGUAUGUUAAAACUAUGGCAUACAAUUAAGUUUGACUUAGUUGUCAAACACAACUACAGGAUCUGCCUUUCUCUCCCUCAGCACCAGCUUACACACAUGCACGCAAACUAGAUGAAAGGACGUAAAUCUGUAAAGCUGCCACUAGAUGAUAAGUCUGAGCCGCGAGAUUUCCCCCAGCAACAUGUCCAGCGGUCUGCCUAAUUAGAGCCGAGUGUAUCUGUGGGCAACGGAGUCUGUAUCUGCAAAUGUAAAGGGGAUUUGGCCGGGAGCAUUCAUUCACUCAGCUGUCUGGUGGGAAGACAAUGGUGAGGGCUGCAGAUUGGAUUUCUUGUUUCCAGAGGAAAGACAAGAAUAAUGCCGGUUGAAUAUCCCAUAGAGAUGGAUUUAUUGGGACUGCUGGUAUUGGAAAAAUCCGGUUAGGGACUUAAUCAAAACAGAGCAGCAACAGCAGCAGAGGCAGGGAGAGACUAAGCUGAGCCUGUAGGCCGGGCCAAACUGAAGCCAGCCCUGCAUAUCCUGUCCUUUACCUGUCCUCUCUGUCCUCAGAGUGGGUCCACUCCACUCAUUUAUCCUUUGUCUGAGCCAUUAUAUGAAAGGGCGUCCUCCCUUCCUGUCCUCAAGGAUAAGCCCUCCCUCAUUUCUGCGUGUGACCUCAUGCAGAAUAUACGAACAUUUUUCUGUCUGUGUGCAGAGUGUUGCUGUGAAACUCCAAAUCAUGGAUACCUAGACCUCAAGAGUUACUUAAGCACUAAUCAAAAUAAAACAGAAAAGGUAGAAUAAGGAUAUAAUAAAUCAAAUG